CCCUUAGAUGUCCGGGGCUGCACGCGCGCUACACUGUAGAAAGCAGCGUGCUUUAAAACCUUUCCUGAAAAGGAUGGGUAACCCCAGCAAAAUUCUACGUGCUUGGGAUAGAGAUUUGCAAUUUUCUCUCUUGAACGAGGAAUUCCCAGUAAGUGCGAGUCAUCAGCUCGCGUUGAUUACGUCCCUGCCCUUUGUACACACCGCCCGUCGCUACUACUGAUUGGAUGUUUAAGCGAGGUUCUCGAACUGCUAGUGACCGAUCUUCGGUGAGGUCGCAGUGUGGGAAGUGAACCUAGCUUUGGUGUCUAGAGGAAGUAAAAGUCGUAACA
rnacentral:rRNA from 1 species